rnacentral:rRNA from 1 species
CCUACGGGAGGCAGCAGUGGGGAAUAUUGGGCAAUGGAGGAAACUCUGACCCAGCAACGCCGCGUGAAUGAUGAAGGUCUUCGGAUUGUAAAGUUCUUUUCUAAGGGAAGAAGGUACAGCGUAUCGUAAACCUCUUUUGUCAGGGAACAAAGGCGGGGACUAGUCCCAGGAUGAGGGUACCUGAAGAAAAAGCAUCGGCUAACUCCGUGCCAGCAGCCGCGGUAAUACGGAGGAUGCGAGCGUUAUCCGGAUUUAUUGGGUUUAAAGGGGGCGCCGGCGGCCUGUUACGUCAGCGUGAAAAGCCCGGGGCUCAACCCCGGCGAGCCGUUGAAACUGGCGGGCUGGAGUUGGAGAGAAGUACGCGGAAUGCGCGGUGUAGCGGUGAAAUGCUUAGAUAUCGCGCAGAACCCCGAUUGCGAAGGCAGCGUACCGGCUCCACACUGACGCUGAGGCACGAAAGCGUGGGUAUCGAACAGGAUUAGAUACCCUUGUAGUC